rnacentral:rRNA from 1 species
GAGCUUGCUCUGUGGGAUCAGUGGCGAACGGGUGAGUAACACGUGAGCAACCUGCCCCUGACUCUGGGAUAAGCGCUGGAAACGGCGUCUAAUACUGGAUAUGUGACGUGACCGCAUGGUCUGCGUCUGGAAAGAAUUUCGAUUGGGGAUGGGCUCGCGGCCUAUCAGCUUGUUGGUGAGGUAAUGGCUCACCAAGGCGUCGACGGGUAGCCGGCCUGAGAGGGUGACCGGCCACACUGGGACUGAGACACGGCCCAGACUCCUACGGGAGGCAGCAGUGGGGAAUAUUGCACAAUGGGCGCAAGCCUGAUGCAGCAACGCCGCGUGAGGGACGACGGCCUUCGGGUUGUAAACCUCUUUUAGCAGGGAAGAAGCGAAAGUGACGGUACCUGCAGAAAAAGCGCCGGCUAACUACGUGCCAGCAGCCGCGGUAAUACGUAGGGCGCAAGCGUUAUCCGGAAUUAUUGGGCGUAAAGAGCUCGUAGGCGGUUUGUCGCGUCUGCUGUGAAAUCCGGAGGCUCAACCUCCGGCCUGCAGUGGGUACGGGCAGACUAGAGUGCGGUAGGGGAGAUUGGAAUUCCUGGUGUAGCGGUGGAAUGCGCAGAUAUCAGGAGGAACACCGAUGGCGAAGGCAGAUCUCUGGGCCGUAACUGACGCUGAGGAGCGAAAGGGUGGGGAGCAAACAGGCUUAGAUACCCUGGUAGUCCACCCCGUAAACGUUGGGAACUAGUUGUGGGGUCCAUUCCACGGAUUCCGUGACGCAGCUAACGCAUUAAGUUCCCCGCCUGGGGAGUACGGCCGCAAGGCUAAAACUCAAAGGAAUUGACGGGGACCCGCACAAGCGGCGGAGCAUGCGGAUUA